rnacentral:rRNA from 1 species
AGUGAACGCUGGCGGUAGGCCUAACACAUGCAAGUCGAACGGCAGCACAGUAAGAGCUUGCUCUUACGGGUGGCGAGUGGCGGACGGGUGAGGAAUACAUCGGAAUCUACUUUUUCGUGGGGGAUAACGUAGGGAAACUUACGCUAAUACCGCAUACGACCUACGGGUGAAAGCAGGGGAUCUUCGGACCUUGCGCGAUUGAAUGAGCCGAUGUCGGAUUAGCUAGUUGGCGGGGCAAAGGCCCACCAAGGCGACGAUCCGUAGCUGGUCUGAGAGGAUGAUCAGCCACACUGGAACUGAGACACGGUCCAGACUCCUACGGGAGGCAGCAGUGGGGAAUAUUGGACAAUGGGCGCAAGCCUGAUCCAGCCAUACCGCGUGGGUGAAGAAGGCCUUCGGGUUGUAAAGCCCUCUUGUUGGGAAAGAAAAGCAGCAGGUUAAUACCCCGCUGUUCUGACGGUACCCAAAGAAUAAGCACCGGCUAACUUCGUG